AGCACAGCAGGUAGUUAAGGUUAGAUGCUAAUCUUACAAAGCCAGACAUUACUUCACAGCACAGCAGAGUAACUAACGUUAGAUGCUAGCUAUCACAUAACCA